rnacentral:lncRNA from 1 species
UUCCUUUAGAGGGAGACAAGGGGUGAAACUGGCAAUUUCUCGGAAUAAUGGUCAAUUUACAGGAAAAGUCAAAAAGAAAAACCAAGAACCAGGAACUGUCGGUCCACUCAUCCACAAGUGUAUGUUUGGCACAGACCAAAGGCAUCUCAGAACGCUGGAGCUACUGAGAAUGUAUCUAUUUUCUCCCCCUCUGUCAGAAAAGAGCAGCCUAUUUAUUUCUGAUGCAUAUCUUAAAGCCGAGCCUACAAAGUUGAUUGAUGACCCACAUGAGAAAGGAAAGUAUGUGAUUAAUUCCGUAAGACAGUUCAUCAAAUGAUUGCAUAAAAUGCCUGAGCAGCGGCAGCGCAAAACUUGAAAGCUCUGGAACAUGCUUCUGCAAUGCACACUCACAGCUUCAAAACAGACACACGUGUUGGACUUAAAGGACCAACAACAACAUUCUAUGCCAGAUGACUGAACUACCUGACUCACAAACAAUUAGAGCAUUCUUCUAGCGUAAAUUAUAUUUUGUAGGGUUAUUCUUCUGAGGCAGUAUAUACAACACGAUGGAUGUGCUGGAAGUUGUAUCAAACCCUUGCAUUUCUUUUUCUGUCACUAACUCCCUCAACAUAGCGAGAUGUGUGCUGGAGCCCCGUAUGGAACUCAGCUAGACUCACCCAGCUGUGCCACAGGCUGAAUUUCUAGGAGAGCUUCAGCUCAUUGGGUUGUACGUUCUGGGGCUCCCUAACUUCAGCAGACGGUAGUUACCACACGUAUGAUUUGGGCGGGAAGGAAAGGAGCCGAUGGAUGACAAGCAUCUUUGUUACUUCAGACCUACGUCACCUCCCCUGUCCCUUUUGAAAAAGAAUUACAAUUGUGCUCGUAUAUUUCAAGAUAGGCGCUGCUUGGCUUCUGAAUCACUUUGGCAAGUCCUAUAUCUAAGAGACAUUAAGUCUGCUGAGAAUUUAUUGCUAAUUGAUCAUACAAUCAAAUGGAACAGUACUCAAGAUUUAGUACUACUAGCUCCACAACUUUUCCUUUGUUUCUAAAUGCACAAACCACGUGUUCCUCACAGGGUGUCCAACACAAUUCUUGCAAUUCUCUUUGUAGCAGACAAGCUCUGAGUUGCAAUCCCUUUUCUAAUCGCCUCCACAGUAUGAGGGCUUCAUGCUCAGCUGAAACACGUGAAAGACAAAACUCUAAGGCUGCUGUAAGGAGAAAGCUCCAGCAUGUGAACAGACAUGGGAUCGUGCUGCAGAAUAUCAACCACUAAUUAUCUGGGUCAGCAGAAGAGGGAGCUACAUUUUUAUUCAGAAGUUGAAUAACACAGCAGCUCCUUUCACACGUCAUUGCUAUGGGCUACUCUUACAAUAAAUAAUAACAAAAAAUAACUCUGUUGUAUUGA